CAAUGUGAUUGGUCAAUUCCUUGAGACCUAUUAUUUUUGACUAGCGUCUGCGUCUAAAGGACCGUCUACAAUGAAGGUAGUAAGGCUGUGAGAGAGUGGAGUAAGGUUCUUGAAGUUAUUUCAUUUUUGUCUAUGCAAGUAAUUAUUUCGCGGUUUUUAACACACGUCUUUCAUUAGCUAACGGAAAACCCCAUGAUGUACACAAUUCUCCAUUUUCUGGAUUUAUUAAUGGAUGGAAGAUUUUAGUUUCAAACACAACUUUCUAAAAUAUAUUUACAUCUUUCUAAAAUAUAUUUAAAUUGAGAGAGAGAGAGAGAGAGAGAUGGCACUCCCCAAGUGGAAAGUUCUGAGGCAAUAUAAUAGUGAACCUAAAAACUCCACCUUUGUAGAACCCUUGCCGAACAAAUUG